rnacentral:rRNA from 1 species
GAUGAACGCUAGCUACAGGCUUAACACAUGCAAGUCGAGGGGUAACGAGAGGAAAGCUUGCUUUCCUUGUCGACGACCGGCGCACGGGUGAGUAACGCGUAUCCAACCUGCCCCCAACUAGGGAAUAACCUUGCGAAAGUAAGACUAAUACCCUAUAAUUUCCUCAGAUGUCAUCUGACGAGGAAUAAAGAUUUAUCGGUUGUGGAUGGGGAUGUGUCUGAUUAGCUUGGUGGCGGGGUAACGGCCCACCAAGGCAACGAUCAGUAGGGGUUCUGAGAGGAAGGUCCCCCACAUUGGGACUGAGACACGGUCCAAACUCCUACGGGAGGCAGCAGUGAGGAAUAUUGGUCAAUGGGCGGAAGCCUGAACCAGCCAAGUAGCGUGCAGGAUGACGGCCCUAUGGGUUGUAAACUGCUUUUAUACAGGAAUAAAGUUAGCCACGUGUGGUUAUUUGUAGGUACUGUAUGAAUAAGGACCGGCUAAUUCCGUGCCAGCCGCCGCAGUAA